rnacentral:rRNA from 1 species
GAUGAACGCUGGCGGCGUGCCUAAUACAUGCAAGUCGAGCGAACGGACGAGAAGCUUGCUUCUCCGAUGUUAGCGGCGGACGGGUGAGUAACACGUGGAUAACCUACCUAUAAGACUGGGAUAACUUCGGGAAACCGGAGCUAAUACCGGAUAAUAUUUUGAACCGCAUGGUUCAAAAGUGAAAGACGGUCUUGCUGUCACUUAUAGAUGGAUCCGCGCUGCAUUAGCUAGUUGGUAAGGUAACGGCUUACCAAGGCGACGAUGCAUAGCCGACCUGAGAGGGUGAUCGGCCACACUGGAACUGAGACACGGUCCAGACUCCUACGGGAGGCAGCAGUAGGGAAUCUUCCGCAAUGGGCGAAAGCCUGACGGAGCAACGCCGCGUGAGUGAUGAAGGUCUUCGGAUCGUAAAACUCUGUUAUUAGGGAAGAACAUAUGUGUAAGUAACUGUGCACAUCUUGACGGUACCUAAUCAGAAAGCCACGGCUAACUACGUGCCAGCAGCCGCGGUAAUACGUAGGUGGCAAGCGUUAUCCGGAAUUAUUGGGCGUAAAGCGCGCGUAGGCGGUUUUUUAAGUCUGAUGUGAAAGCCCACGGCUCAACCGUGGAGGGUCAUUGGAAACUGGAAAACUUGAGUGCAGAAGAGGAAAGUGGAAUUCCAUGUGUAGCGGUGAAAUGCGCAGAGAUAUGGAGGAACACCAGUGGCGAAGGCGAUUUUCUGGUCUGUAACUGACGCUGAUGUGCGAAAGCGUGGGGAUCAAACAGGAUUAGAUACCCUGGUAGUCCACGCCGUAAACGAUGAGUGCUAAGUGUUAGGGGGUUUCCGCCCCUUAGUGCUGCAGCUAACGCAUUAAGCACUCCGCCUGGGGAGUACGACCGCAAGGUUGAAACUCAAAGGAAUUGACGGGGACCCGCACAAGCGGUGGAGCAUGUGGUUUAAUUCGAAGCAACGCGAAGAACCUUACCAAAUCUUGACAUCCUUUGACAACUCUAGAGAUAGAGCUUUCCCCUUCGGGGGACAAAGUGACAGGUGGUGCAUGGUUGUCGUCAGCUCGUGUCGUGAGAUGUUGGGUUAAGUCCCGCAACGAGCGCAACCCUUAAGCUUAGUUGCCAUCAUUAAGUUGGGCACUCUAAGUUGACUGCCGGUGACAAACCGGAGGAAGGUGGGGAUGACGUCAAAUCAUCAUGCCCCUUAUGAUUUGGGCUACACACGUGCUACAAUGGACAAUACAAAGGGCAGCGAAACCGCGAGGUCAAGCAAAUCCCAUAAAGUUGUUCUCAGUUCGGAUUGUAGUCUGCAACUCGACUACAUGAAGCUGGAAUCGCUAGUAAUCGUAGAUCAGCAUGCUACGGUGAAUACGUUCCCGGGUCU